AGAGUUUGAUCCUGGCUCAGAACGAACGCUGGCGGCAUGCCUAACACAUGCAAGUCGAACGAGAAAGCUCCCUUCGGGGAGCCGGUAAAGUGGCGCACGGGUGAGUAACACGUGGGCAAUCUGUCCUCGAGUGGGGAACAACCCAGGGAAACUUGGGCUAAUACCGCAUAACAUCCCGACCUCUCCGGAGGAUGGGAUCAAAGCUGGGGAUCGCAAGACCUGGCGCUUGAGGAGGAGCCUGCGGCUGAUUAGCUUGUUGGUGGGGUAACGGCCUACCAAGGCGACGAUCAGUAGCCGGCCUGAGAGGGUGAUCGGCCACACUGGAACUGAGACACGGUCCAGACUCCUACGGGAGGCAGCAGUGAGGAAUUUUGCGCAAUGGGCGAAAGCCUGACGCAGCAAUGCCGCGUGGAUGAUGAAGGCCUUCGGGUCGUAAAAUCCUGUCAAGCGGGAAGAAACCCCCUCCGUUAAUAGCGGCAGGGGGGUGACUGUACCGCUGGAGGAAGCCCCGGCUAACUCCGUGCCAGCAGCCGCGGUAAUACGGGGGGGGCAAGCGUUGUUCGGAAUUAUUGGGCGUAAAGGGCGCGUAGGCGGCCCUGCAAGUCGGUUGUGAAAUCCCUUGGCUCAACCAAGGAACUGCAACCGAAACUACAGAGCUAGAGUCCGGGAGAGGGUAGUGGAAUUCCCAGUGUAGCGGUG
rnacentral:rRNA from 1 species